rnacentral:rRNA from 1 species
UACGGAGGGUGCGAGCGUUGUCCGGAAUCACUGGGCGUAAAGGGCGCGUAGGCGGCCUGAUAAGUAGGGGGUGAAAUCUUGCGGCUUAACCGCAAGGCUGCCUUCUAAACUGUCAGGCUAGAGCACAGUAGAGGCAGGUGGAAUUCCCGGUGUAGCGGUGGAAUGCGUAGAGAUCGGGAAGAACACCGGUGGCGAAGGCGGCCUGCUGGGCAGUGGCUGACGCUGAGGCGCGACAGCGUGGGGAGCAAACGGG